GACGAACGCUGGCGGCGUGCUUAACACAUGCAAGUCGAACGGAAAGGCCCUGCUUUUGUGGGGUGCUCGAGUGGCGAACGGGUGAGUAACACGUGAGUAACCUGCCCUUGACUUUGGGAUAACUUCAGGAAACUGGGGCUAAUACCGGAUAGGAGCUCCUGCUGCAUGGUGGGGGUUGGAAAGUUUCGGCGGUUGGGGAUGGACUCGCGGCUUAUCAGCUUGUUGGUGGGGUAGUGGCUUACCAAGGCUUUGACGGGUAGCCGGCCUGAGAGGGUGACCGGCCACAUUGGGACUGAGAUACGGCCCAGACUCCUACGGGAGGCAGCAGUGGGGAAUAUUGCACAAUGGGCGGAAGCCUGAUGCAGCAACGCCGCGUGCGGGAUGACGGCCUUCGGGUUGUAAACCGCUUUCGCCUGUGACGAAGCGUGAGUGACGGUAAUGGGUAAAGAAGCACCGGCGAAUUACGU
rnacentral:rRNA from 1 species